rnacentral:rRNA from 1 species
UACGGAGGGUCCAAGCGUUAAUCGGAAUUACUGGGCGUAAAGCGUGCGCAGGCGGUUUGUUAAGCGAGAUGUGAAAGCCCCGGGCUCAACCUGGGAAUUGCAUUUCGAACUGGCAAACUAGAGUCUUGUAGAGGGGGGUAGAAUUCCAGGUGUAGCGGUGAAAUGCGUAGAGAUCUGGAGGAAUACCGGUGGCGAAGGCGGCCCCCUGGACAAAGACUGACGCUCAGGCACGAAAGCGUGGGGAGCAAAC